ACAGGUGGAUGAGGAGAGAAUCCUAAGGCCGGCGGAAGAAGCAUUGUCAAGGAACUCGGCAAAAUGGCCCCGUAACUUAGGGAUAAGGGGUGCCUGGGAAACCAGGCCGCAGAGAAUAGGCUCAAGCAACUGUUUAGCAAAAGCACAGGUCUAUGCGAAACCGAAAGGUGAGGUAUAUGGGCUGACGCCUGCCCGGUGCUGGAAGGUUAAGAGGAGAGGUUAGCGGUAACGCGAAGCUUUGAAUUUAAGCCCCAGUAAACGGCGGCCGUAACUAUAACGGUCCUAAGGUAGCGAAAUUCCUUGUCGGGUAAGUUCCGACCCGCACGAAAGGCGUAAUGAUUUGAGCGCUGUCUCGACAAUGCAUCCGGUGAAAUUGAAGUACCAGUGAAGAUGCUGGUUACCUGCGCCAGGACGGAAAGACCCCAUGGAGCUUUACUCCAGUCUGGUACUGGGACUCGGUAUUGCAUGUACAGGAUAGGUGGGAGGCUAGGAGAUGGUAACGCCAGUUGCCAUGGAGCCGCUGUUGGGAUACCACCCUUGCAGUAUUGGGUUUCUAACCAGCCGCCGUGACCCGGCGGUGGGACAAUGCCAGACGGGGAGUUUGACUGGGGCGGUCGCCUCCGAAAGGGUAUCGGAGGCGCCCAAAGGUUCCCUCAGAAUGGACGGAAACCAUUCGAAGAGUGCAAAGGCAGAAGGGAGCUUGACUGCGACACCGACGGGUGGAGCAGGUACGAAAGUAGGGCUUAGUGAUCCGGUGGUAUUAAGUGGGAAUGCCAUCGCUCAACGGAUAAAAGCUACCCUGGGAUAACAGGCUUAUCACUCCCAAGAGUUCACAUCGACGGAGUGGUUUGGCACCUCGAUGUCGGCUCAUCGCAUCCUGGGGCUGUAGUAGGUCCCAAGGGUUGGGCUGUUCGCCCAUUAAAGCGGUACGCGAGCUGGGUUCAGAACGUCGUGAGACAGUUCGGUCCCUAUCCGGCGUGGGCGUAGGAUAUCUGAGAGGAGCUGUCCUUAGUACGAGAGGACCGGGAUGGACGGGCCGCUGGUGCAUCGGUUAGACUGCCAAGUCUACGGCCGAGUAGCCAAGCCCGGAAGGGAUAAACGCUGAAGGCAUCUAAGCGUGAAGCCCCCCUUAAGAUGAGAUAUCCCAUUCGAAAGAAGUAAACCCCCUUGAAGACGACGAGGUAGAUAGGGCAGAGGUGGAAGUGCAGUAAUGCAUGGAGCUGACUGUUACUAAUCGGGUGAGGGCUUGACCAA
rnacentral:rRNA from 1 species